rnacentral:pre_miRNA from 1 species
UUUUAUACUAAUCGGAAUUACCUGAAAUUUGGAGCGUGUGUUCAUCAAAAAUAGGUGAAUCUACGAAAAAUAUCAAAAAAAUAUUUUACAUGAAAAACAUCGACCAAAAUACCCUUGACAAGUUUCAGGGGUAUUUUGGUCAAUUUAUUUUUCUCGAAUUAUUUUUUUUAUAUUUUUAUUUGGUGCGCUUCAUUAAGAUGUACAUAUGCUCCAAAUUUCAGGUCAUUCCGAUUUGUAGAAAA